rnacentral:rRNA from 1 species
UACGGGGGGGGCAAGCGUUGUUCGGAAUUACUGGGCGUAAAGGGCUCGUAGGCGGCCAACUAAGUCAGACGUGAAAUCCCUCGGCUUAACCGGGGAACUGCGUCUGAUACUGGAUGGCUUGAGUUUGGGAGAGGGAUGCGGAAUUCCAGGUGUAGCGGUGAAAUGCGUAGAUAUCUGGAGGAACACCAGCGGCGAAGGCGGCGAUCUGGGUCGAUACUGACGCUGAGGUGCGAAAGCGUGGGGAGCAAACAGG